AGUGGGGCUUAAUGGGCUGUCCUAGCAGGGGUAUGGAAGACUUUGUGGCUGAGGGUGAUUUGAACUGUGCAGACCUGGCCCAAGGGGUUUCAGUGGAGAAGAACUUUAGUAUGUGGCCUAGAGACUGUCGUGGUAUCUUUGGUGAAGAAUGUGGCUGCUUUCUGCCCUUGUCGGAAGAGUCCACCUGAGGCUAAGGUUAGCUGAAUGAGAUAGAAGGCAUGUUUUCCCUCUGAAUCGCACGCCGCAUACAAACGACCUCGUCAUUGACAAGGCUGUCAUUGCUGAAGGUUAAGUGUUUGGCUCAGCUCCCUCCGUCUAAAAACUAUGCUCUAUAAAAUGUUAAUCUGCUUUUGUUUAUUUUUGAGCCCCAAAGAUACUUGAGUAGACAGACACAGUUUCCUCGUCUUAUAUAACCGUGAAAAUGCUUUUUUUUUUUUAAUUGGCAAAGCAUAUCACAGCUUAUCUGGUCCAAUUCCUCAACUGAUAGAAAAAGAGGGUUCUAAAAACAACUGGGCAAAAAUAGAAAUAUUAUAAACGGAAUCACAUUUUUUUUUUUUUUUUUUUUUACUUAGCGGGCAAGCUUGCUCUCAGAGUCUGUGUAAAAGCUUCUGGAAGGGGAACAAUCAGCAGCCGUGAAAGCCAUACCCACCGGAAGGACUAAUCUGCUCGCUGACAAAACCACUCAGCUUUUGACUGACCUGUUAGGAAAUCACAGCUUGACUGGACGAUUACUUACAUCAGUCCCUGUGCUCAGCGACACCGUACUCCUCUUGUUUAAUCCUUGCCAUAGACCUAAAGGCAAGCUACUGCGAGUGUCCUGGUUAUAAAAUGAGGCUAUGAGUUUUCGGGAGAUUAAUGAACAAUGCAUUUAUCGUUA
rnacentral:sRNA from 1 species